UCGUCUGGGGAUUUUGUCAAACUACAGAAUCUGAUUCAGUGGGCCCCGGAGUCUGCAUUUCUAACAAGCUCCCGGGUGAUG
rnacentral:miRNA from 1 species